UACGUAGGGUGCGAGCGUUAAUCGGAAUUACUGGGCGUAAAGGGUGCGCAGGCGGUUAUAUAAGACAGAUGUGAAAUCCCCGGGCUCAACCUGGGAACUGCGUUUGUGACUGUAUGACUAGAGUACGGUAGAGAGGGGUGGAAUUCCUGGUGUAGCAGUGAAAUGCGUAGAUAUCAGGAGGAACAUCGAUGGCGAAGGCAGAUCUCUGGGCCGUAACUGACGCUGAGGAGCGAAAAGCAUGGGGAGCGAACAGG
rnacentral:rRNA from 1 species